rnacentral:rRNA from 1 species
AUUGAACGCUGGCGGCAUGCCUUACACAUGCAAGUCGAACGGCAGCACGGGUGCUUGCACCUGGUGGCGAGUGGCGAACGGGUGAGUAAUACAUCGGAACGUACCUUAUCGUGGGGGGUAACGCAGCGAAAGCUGUGCUAAUACCGCAUACGCCCUGAGGGGGAAAGCGGGGGAUCGCAAGACCUCGCGCGAUUAGAGCGGCCGAUGCCUGAUUAGCUUGUUGGUGGGGUAAAAGCCCACCAAGGCGACGAUCAGUAGCUGGUCUGAGAGGACGAUCAGCCAGACUGGGACUGAGACACGGCCCAGACUCCUACGGGAGGCAGCAGUGGGGAAUUUUGGACAAUGGGGGCAACCCUGAUCCAGCAAUGCCGCGUGAGUGAAGAAGGCCUUCGGGUUGUAAAGCUCUUUUGUCAGGGAAGAAACACCGGCUCUAACACAGUCCGGGAAUGACGGUACCUGAAGAAUAAGCACCGGCUAACUACGUGCCAGCCGCCGCCGUAA